rnacentral:lncRNA from 1 species
GUAUUGGAAGCAGCAUACGCUGUUAAUGGAGAUCAAUUGAUAUUGAGUUACCUGAGUGAUGUUAAGCAUGUGUUGCAGAUAAGAGACUUGAAGACAGGAUCAUUUCUGCAUCAGCUGCCAAUUGGCAUCGGCUCUGUUACUCGAGUGUCUGCAAGAAGACAAGACAGCAUAGCAUUUAUUGGCUUUACUAACUUUCUUUCCCCUGGCAUCAUCUACCAAUGCGAUUUUGGAUCUGGGAAUCCGGAAAUGAAGAUAUUUCGGGAGAUCAGUGUACCUGGAUUUGAUCGCUCAGAAUUCGAAGUGAAUCAGGUGACUUUCUCCUUUUCUUUGAGUGUGGAUUGUAACUCGUUUUUGAACUCCAACCUGUUGCUUAAAUUAGAAACCGAGGCAUA